rnacentral:rRNA from 1 species
AGUGAACGCUGGCGGUAGGCCUAACACAUGCAAGUCGAACGGCAGCACAGUAAGAGCUUGCUCUUACGGGUGGCGAGUGGCGGACGGGUGAGGAAUACAUCGGAAUCUACUUUUUCGUGGGGGAUAACGUAGGGAAACUUACGCUAAUACCGCAUACGACCUACGGGUGAAAGCAGGGGAUCUUCGGACCUUGCGCGAUUGAAUGAGCCGAUGUCGGAUUAGCUAGUUGGCGGGGUAAAGGCCCACCAAGGCGACGAUCCGUAGCUGGUCUGAGAGGAUGAUCAGCCACACUGGAACUGAGACACGGUCCAGACUCCUACGGGAGGCAGCAGUGGGGAAUAUUGGACAAUGGGCGCAAGCCUGAUCCAGCAAUACCGCGUGGGUGAAGAAGGCCUUCUGGUUGUAAAGCCCUUUUGUUGGGAAAGAAAAGCAGCAGGUUAAUACCCCGCUGUUAUGACGGUACCCAAAGAAUAAGCACCGGCUAACUUCGUG